AUCCCACGUGGCACAUUCCCUCUCCUUACAAACUAGUUAAGGGCCCGCGCGAUGCGGCGGAGAGGUAUUAUUACAGUAAAUUAUUGUAAUUAAAAAAUUUGAUUGUAAAAAAAAAUUAAGGAUCAAAAUAAAAAAUAGUAAAAAGGUUGGGACCAAUCUGUGAUUAAUUUUCUAAAAUAAAGGGAGACUUUCUUUAGGGUUCAUAAUUCACAUUUAUAAAGAUAAAGAUAAUAAUAAUAAUAAUAGUAAUAAUAAAAUAUUAAUAAUAAAUAUAAAAAUAAAAUUCAAAUUUAAAAUUUGAAUUCAAUUCUAAAAUCUUUUUUAACAGUACCAUUUUAUUGCGAUGAAAUCAAGAGAUUUAAAAUUUUGAUUGAAAAAAAAAAAAAUUAAGGACCAAAAUCAAAAAUAGUAAAAAAGUUGGAACCAAUGUGCGAUUAAGUUCUAUAAAAAAUUAUAUGUGGGCUCCCACAACCCUCAAAAAUAAGGAGAUGAUAUGUUAAUGUUGUUAAUUUUAAAACCUCUUUUAGCAGUGUCAUUUUGUCGCGAUAAAAUCAAGAGAUUUGAAAAUUUGAUUGCCAAAAAAAAUAUUAGA
rnacentral:lncRNA from 1 species